UGGUCGCAACGUUCCUGUGUCAGGGUCAGACAAACCAGACCUCGCGCAUGCUUGGCCAUGAAAUUGAUGGCUUCCGGCGUGACGAAAUCGGCGGCGAUCAUC
rnacentral:antisense_RNA from 1 species